rnacentral:tRNA from 1 species
GGCGACAUAGCUCAGUUGGUUAGAGUGUGGUGCUGAUAACAUCAAGGUUGCAGGUUCGGUCCCUGUUUGUGGCUG